rnacentral:rRNA from 1 species
UACGGAGGGAGCUAGCGUUGUUCGGAAUUACUGGGCGUAAAGCGCGCGUAGGCGGCUUUGUAAGUUAGAGGUGAAAGCCCGGGGCUCAACCCCGGAACUGGCCUUUAAGACUAGCAUCGCUUGAAUCCGGGAGAGGUGAGUGGAAGUCCGAGUGUGAGAGGUGAAAGUUCGUAGAUAUUCGGAAGAACACCAGUGGCGAAGGCGGGUCCUGCUGGGCA